rnacentral:rRNA from 1 species
UACGUAGGGUGCGAGCGUUGUCCGGAAUUACUGGGCGUAAAGAGCUCGUAGGCGGUUUGUCACGUCGUCUGUGAAAGUCUGCAGCUUAACUGUAGGAGUGCAGGCGAUACGGGCAGACUUGAGUACUACAGGGGAGACUGGAAUUCCUGGUGUAGCGGUGAAAUGCGCAGAUAUCAGGAGGAACACCGGUGGCGAAGGCGGGUCUCUGGGCAACAACUGACGCUGAGGAGCGAAAGCGUGGGGAGCGAACAGG